AUCCGUGUUUUUUUUCCCCAAAAUCCCGUUUUUCCCCCCGCAGGUGAAGGAUUUCGACGCCGUCUCGCGCCUGGAGCCGUGGCUGACGGCGCUGCUGCUGCGCAUCAAGAGGAGCAUCCCGGGCGAGGAGCAGGACCUGCGCUGACAGCGCCCCAAAACCGCCCAAAAACAGCCCAAAAACAGCCUGGAAACGCCCUGAAAAUACCCCAAAAAUACCCACAAAAAUACCCCAAAAUACGGCCAAAAACACCCCAAAAACAGCCCGGAAACGCCCCGAAAACACCCCAAAAAUACCCCAAAAACAGCCCAGAAACUGCCCAAAAAUACCCACAAAAACUGCCCAAAAAUACCCCAAAAUACGGCAAAAUAUACCCCAAAAACUGCCCAAAAAUACCACAAAAACAACCCAAAAACUGCCCAAAAAUACCCACAAAAAUACCCCCAAAACAGCCCAAAAACAGCCCGGAAACGCCCUGAAAAUACCCCAAAAAAUACCCCAAAAACAGCCCGAAAUCGCCCCCAAAAUACCCCAAAAAAUACCCCAAAAACUGCCCAAAAAUACCCACAAAAACUGCCCAAAAAUACCCCAAUAUACGGCAAAAUAUACCCCAAAAACUGCCCAAAAAUACCACAAAAAUACCCACAAAAAUACCCACAAAAACAGCCAAAAACACCCCAAAAACAGCCCGGAAACGCCCCAAAAACUGCCCAAAAAUACCCCAAAAACAGCCCGGAAACACCCCGAAAACUGCCCAGAAAUACCCCAAAAAUACCCACAAAAACUGCCCAAAAACUGCCCAAAAUAUGGCCAAAAAUACCCCAAAAACUGCCCAAAAUAUGGCAAAAUAUACCCCAAAACCAGCCCAAAACCAGCCCAAAAACUGCUCAAAAAUAUCCCCAAAAAUACCCCAAAAUACAGUGAAAAGCCUUAAAAAAACUGGGAAAAAAACCUUCAGAAACACCAAAAAAUAUCUCAAUACCACCCCAGAAACACUCUCAAAAAUGGCCCAAAAUACAGCCAAAGAACCCCAAAAUAUGGCGAAAAAAUGUUUAAAAAACAUGGGGAGAAAAUUAAAAAAAAAACCCCAAAAAACCCUGAAACCACCCCAAAA
rnacentral:lncRNA from 1 species